rnacentral:tRNA from 1 species
GGUAACUGGUGUGCCUCCUGGUCUUCAAAACCAGUGUAGGGCGUUAGUAGCGUCCUGGGUGGGUUCGAUUCCCACAU